GGGGAAUGAAAGAGAAGGGGUCCUCGGGUUAUGCUGUGGAGAAAGGAAAAUGAUCAUCGGGCUAUGCCGGGGAGGUCCACAGAUUAUGCUGGGGAGAAAGGAAGAUUAUCCUCGGGUUAUGUCGGGGAGGUCCACAGGUUAUGCUAGGAGAAAAGGAAACAAACCUCGGGUUAUGUCGGGGAGGUGCACAGGUUAUACUGGGGACAACUAGGGGGUGUGGUCCUAGGUUUGGAAGAAUGGAGUUAAGGAUUUG
rnacentral:lncRNA from 1 species